UACGUAGGGUGCGAGCGUUGUCCGGAAUUAUUGGGCGUAAAGAGCUCGUAGGCGGUGUGUCACGUCGGCCGUGAAAACCUGCAGCUUAACUGUGGGCGUGCGGUCGAUACGGGCAUCACUGGAGUUCGGCAGGGGAGACUGGAAUUCCUGGUGUAGCGGUGAAAUGCGCAGAUAUCAGGAGGAACACCGGUGGCGAAGGCGGGGUCUCUGGGGCCGAUACUGACGCUGAGGAGCGAAAAGCGUGGGGGAGCAAAACAGG
rnacentral:rRNA from 1 species